rnacentral:rRNA from 1 species
GGUUAAGCGACUAAGCGUACACGGUGGAUGCCCUGGCAGUCAGAGGCGAUGAAGGACGUGCUAAUCUGCGAUAAGCGUCGGUAAGGUGAUAUGAACCGUUAUAACCGGCGAUUUCCGAAUGGGGAAACCCAGUGUGUUUCGACACACUAUCAUUAACUGAAUCCAUAGGUUAAUGAGGCGAACCGGGGGAACUGAAACAUCUAAGUACCCCGAGGAAAAGAAAUCAACCGAGAUUCCCCCAGUAGCGGCGAGCGAACGGGGAGCAGCCCAGAGCCUGAAUCAGUGUGUGUGUUAGUGGAAGCGUCUGGAAAGGCGCGCGAUACAGGGUGACAGCCCCGUACACAAAAAUGCACAUGCUGUGAGCUCGAUGAGUAGGGCGGGACACGUGGUAUCCUGUCUGAAUAUGGGGGGACCAUCCUCCAAGGCUAAAUACUCCUGACUGACCGAUAGUGAACCAGUACCGUGAGGGAAAGGCGAAAAGAACCCCCGGCGAGGGGAGUGAAAAAGAACCUGAAACCGUGUACGUACAAGCAGUGGGAGCACGCUUAGGCGUGUGACUGCGUACCUUUUGUAUAAUGGGUCAGCGACUUAUAUUCUGUAGCAAGGUUAACCGAAUAGGGGAGCCGAAGGGAAACCGAGUCUUAACUGGGCGUUAAGUUGCAGGGUAUAGACCCGAAACCCGGUGAUCUAGCCAUGGGCAGGUUGAAGGUUGGGUAACACUAACUGGAGGACCGAACCGACUAAUGUUGAAAAAUUAGCGGAUGACUUGUGGCUGGGGGGUGAAAGGCCAAUCAAACCGGGAGAUAGCUGGUUCUCCCCGAAAGCUAUUUAGGUAGCGCCUCGUGAAUUCAUCUCCGGGGGUAGAGCACUGUUUCGGCAAGGGGGUCAUCCCGACUUACCAACCCGAUGCAAACUGCGAAUACCGGAGAAUGUUAUCACGGGAGACACACGGCGGGUGCUAACGUCCGUCGUGAAGAGGGAAACAACCCAGACCGCCAGCUAAGGUCCCAAAGUCAUGGUUAAGUGGGAAACGAUGUGGGAAGGCCCAGACAGCCAGGAUGUUGGCUUAGAAGCAGCCAUCAUUUAAAGAAAGCGUAAUAGCUCACUGGUCGAGUCGGCCUGCGCGGAAGAUGUAACGGGGCUAAACCAUGCACCGAAGCUGCGGCAGCGACGCUGAUGCGUUGUUGGGUAGGGGAGCGUUCUGUAAGCCUGUGAAGGUGUGCUGUGAGGCAUGCUGGAGGUAUCAGAAGUGCGAAUGCUGACAUAAGUAACGAUAAAGCGGGUGAAAAGCCCGCUCGCCGGAAGACCAAGGGUUCCUGUCCAACGUUAAUCGGGGCAGGGUGAGUCGACCCCUAAGGCGAGGCCGAAAGGCGUAGUCGAUGGGAAACAGGUUAAUAUUCCUGUACUUGGUGUUACUGCGAAGGGGGGACGGAGAAGGCUAUGUUGGCCGGGCGACGGUUGUCCCGGUUUAAGCGUGUAGGCUGGUUUUCCAGGCAAAUCCGGAAAAUCAAGGCUGAGGCGUGAUGACGAGGCACUACGGUGCUGAAGCAACAAAUGCCCUGCUUCCAGGAAAAGCCUCUAAGCAUCAGGUAACAUCAAAUCGUACCCCAAACCGACACAGGUGGUCAGGUAGAGAAUACCAAGGCGCUUGAGAGAACUCGGGUGAAGGAACUAGGCAAAAUGGUGCCGUAACUUCGGGAGAAGGCACGCUGAUAUGUAGGUGAAGUCCCUUGCGGAUGGAGCUGAAAUCAGUCGAAGAUACCAGCUGGCUGCAACUGUUUAUUAAAAACACAGCACUGUGCAAACACGAAAGUGGACGUAUACGGUGUGACGCCUGCCCGGUGCCGGAAGGUUAAUUGAUGGGGUCAGCGCAAGCGAAGCUCUUGAUCGAAGCCCCGGUAAACGGCGGCCGUAACUAUAACGGUCCUAAGGUAGCGAAAUUCCUUGUCGGGUAAGUUCCGACCUGCACGAAUGGCGUAAUGAUGGCCGGGCUGUCUCCACCCGAGACUCAGUGAAAUUGAACUCGCUGUGAAGAUGCAGUGUACCCGCGGCAAGACGGAAAGACCCCGUGAACCUUUACUAUAGCUUGACACUGAACAUUGAGCCUUGAUGUGUAGGAUAGGUGGGAGGCUUUGAAGUGUGGACGCCAGUCUGCAUGGAGCCGACCUUGAAAUACCACCCUUUAAUGUUUGAUGUUCUAACGUGGACCCGUGAUCCGGGUUGCGGACAGUGUCUGGUGGGUAGUUUGACUGGGGCGGUCUCCUCCUAAAGAGUAACGGAGGAGCACGAAGGUUGGCUAAUCCUGGUCGGACAUCAGGAGGUUAGUGCAAUGGCAUAAGCCAGCUUGACUGCGAGCGUGACGGCGCGAGCAGGUGCGAAAGCAGGUCAUAGUGAUCCGGUGGUUCUGAAUGGAAGGGCCAUCGCUCAACGGAUAAAAGGUACUCCGGGGAUAACAGGCUGAUACCGCCCAAGAGUUCAUAUCGACGGCGGUGUUUGGCACCUCGAUGUCGGCUCAUCACAUCCUGGGGCUGAAGUAGGUCCCAAGGGUAUGGCUGUUCGCCAUUUAAAGUGGUACGCGAGCUGGGUUUAGAACGUCGUGAGACAGUUCGGUCCCUAUCUGCCGUGGGCGCUGGAGAACUGAGGGGGGCUGCUCCUAGUACGAGAGGACCGGAGUGGACGCAUCACUGGUGUUCGGGUUGUCAUGCCAAUGGCACUGCCCGGUAGCUAAAUGCGGAAGAGAUAAGUGCUGAAAGCAUCUAAGCACGAAACUUGCCCCGAGAUGAGUUCUCCCUGACUCCUUGAGAGUCCUGAAGGAACGUUGAAGACGACGACGUUGAUAGGCCGGGUGUGUAAGCGCAGCGAUGCGUUGAGCUAACCGGUACUAAUGAACCGUGAGGCUUAACCUU